GACGAACGCUGGCGGCGUGCUUAACACAUGCAAGUCGAACGGAAAGGCCCUGCUUGUGUGCUGUGCUCGAGUGGCGAACGCGUGAGUAACAGGUGAGUAUCCUGCUCUUGAUUUUGGGAUAACUUCAGGAAACUGGAGUUACUAUAGUAUAGGAGCCCCCGUUGCAUGGAGGGCGUUGGAUCUUUUCGGCGGUUGCGGUUGGACUCGCGGCUGUUCAGUUUGUUGGUGGGGUAGUGGCUUACCAAGGGAUUGACGGGUAGCCGGCCUGUGAGGGUGACCGGCCACAUGGGGACUGAGGUACGGCCCAGACGCCUACGGGAGGCAGCAGUGGGGAGUAUUGCACAAUGGGCGGAAGCCUGAGGCAGCAACGCCGCGUGUGGGAUGACGGCCUUCGGGUUGUGAACCGCUUUCGCCUGUGACGAAGCGUGAGUGACGGUAAUGGGUAAAGAAGCACCGGCUAACUACGUG
rnacentral:rRNA from 1 species